GGUUUCGUGGUGUAGUUGGUUAUCACGUCAGUCUAACAAUAUAUCUAUAUAUAUAACACUGAAGGUCUCCGGUUCAAGUCCGGGCGAAAUCA
rnacentral:tRNA from 1 species